rnacentral:rRNA from 1 species
UACGUAGGGUGCGAGCGUUCAUCGGAAUUAUUGGGCGUAAAGCGCGCGCAGGCGGCCUUUUAAGUCUGAUGUGAAAGCCCACGGCUCAACCGUGGAAGGUCAUUGGAAACUGAAAGGCUUGAGUACAGAAGAGGAAAGCGGAAUUCCACGUGUAGCGGUGAAAUGCGUAGAGAUGUGGAGGAACACCAGUGGCGAAGGCGGCUUUCUGGUCUGUAACUGACGCUGAGGCGCGAAAGCGUGGGGAGCAAACAGG